rnacentral:rRNA from 1 species
UACAGAGGUCUCAAGCGUUGUUCGGAUUCAUUGGGCGUAAAGGGUGCGUAGGUGGCGCUGUAAGUCGGGUGUGAAAUUUCGGAGCUUAACUCCGAAACUGCAUUCGAUACUGCGGUGCUUGAGGACUGGAGAGGAGACUGGAAUUCAUGGUGUAGCAGUGAAAAUGCGUAGAGAUCAUGAGGAAGACCAGUGGCGAAGGCGGGUCACUGGCCCGGUAACUGACGCUGAGGCGCGAAAGCGUGGGGAGCAAACAGG